rnacentral:rRNA from 1 species
GACGAACGCUGGCGGCGCGCUUAACACAUGCAAGUCGAGCGAGAACCAGCCCUUCGGGGCUGGGGAAAGCGGCGAACGGGUGAGUAACACGUGGGUAAUCUGCCCUCGGCACCGGAAUAGCCCGGGGAAACCCGGAUUAAUGCCGGAUAGCCUCUCCAGCCCUUGGGUUGGUGAGAAAAGGUAGCUUCGGCCUCUGGCCGAGGAGGAGCCCGCGGCGGAUUAGCUUGUUGGUGGGGUAACGGCCCACCAAGGCGACGAUCCGUAGCUGGUCUGAGAGGACGAUCAGCCACACUGGGACUGAGACACGGCCCAGACUCCUACGGGGGGCAGCAGUGGGGAAUCUUGCGCAAGGGGCGAAAGCCUGACGCAGCGACGCCGCGUGCGGGAAGAAGGCCUUCGGGUUGUAAACCGCUUUCAGGAGGGACGAAGCCACUCGGGUUAAUAGCCCAGAGGGUGACGGUACCUCCAGAAGAAGCCCCGGCUAACUACGUGCCAGCCGCCGCCGUAACAC